ACCAACAGUGCUGCUGCCCACAUCUCGGCCAGCUGGGUCACCAGCCCCUUUGGACUCUCUCCUGGCACACAACCUUCUCCAUCCUCACACAACGGCUUCGCUCCUGCCAUAAUUCCUCUUGUCUCCCGGGAGAAAUGAGAUUCGUUUCCCAGGACUUCCACAGCCCACAUCUGCCACGUUUCACAAACAGGGAGGAAAACCCUGUCAGGAUCUGGUGUGUCCGGAAUUUUUAGUGGGCAGGGCUUGUAGGAGAGGCUCAUUUACCUUGACGCUAAUGAAGCGCAAGAUGCAGGGCCCCUCGUUUGCAGCACCUGGCCAAGGCCCUGGACUUCGUUGUGAUCCAUCCUUUGAAGCACGAGGGGACUUCUCUCUGACAUUCACUGCAAGGGCCUGGUAGAGCUCCUGGAGAUAAAAUUCACAAAGUUUGGGGCCCCCUGUGACUGGGUCCUCCUGGCGUUUUUAACUCUCAGACAUGUCCACGCUAAGCCUCCAGCACUCCAUCAAUUCUAGUUCAGGUUUCUUACUCCGGCAACGCGUCUGUGGAGUUUCUACUCAGGUGGAAAACCCAGCUCAGGGAUGAGGCCUUUUGUCCAACUCCCACGAAAUCAUAAAGCUGGAAUUCCAAACACCUCGGCUGCUGACGCCCGGGAUCAAGCGAGCCCACCGAGCUGAUCCAACAGCUUCUUCAUUGUCAUUAUUUUUAAGGCCGCCUAGUGGCCUGUGAUAUUGACGUACUUACUAACUGCUCUCCCAUUUCUGAAUAUGUGGGCUCUCUCUAGGUUUUUGCUUUCAUAGAUAGUCCUGCAAAGACUAUCUUCAGGUCUCGAGCUUUCUGAUUCUGUUGACUUAUUCCCUUACCAGGAGUGGGGUACUUUGUGUCCACAAGAAAAUGUGGACCUCAUUAUGGCAGUUAAUUCACACUGAGGUAGUUUUCAGGAGAGGAAAUGCAGGGGUGGGAGUGGCAGAGCGUCUCUGGGGGGGGGCAGGAAAUGCAGGGGGACUGAGGUGCCAGGCGAGGAAGUCGGAUUCCAGUGGAUUUCAACGGCCUUCACAUUUCCCUAAUGCCUUCAGGCUCAGCGUGGGAAAUGGGGUACUGGCAAGCCUUGGGGACAAGGGACCUGAAGCUGCUGUGUGUGGGAGGUGGGCGGCUGGGACCAGCUGGGACCGCU
rnacentral:lncRNA from 1 species